GAAAUGCGAUAAGUAAUGUGAAUUGCAGAAUUCAGUGAAUCAUCGAAUCUUUGAACGCACUUUGCGCCCCCUGGUAUUCCGGGGGGCAUGCCUGUUCGAGCGUCAUUUCACCACUCAAGCCUCGCUUGGUAUUGGGCGACGCGGUCCGCCGCGCGCCUCAAAUCGACCGGCUGGGUCUUUCGUCCCCUCAGCGUUGUGGAAACUAUUCGCUAAAGGGUGCCGCGGGAGGCCACGCCGUAAAACAACCCCAUUUCUAAGGUUGACCUCGGAUCAGGUAGGGAUACCCGCUGAACUUAAGC
rnacentral:misc_RNA from 1 species